GACAGAGGUCUCGAGCGUUAGGCGGAAUCACUGGGCUUAAAGCGUGUGUAGGCGGACUUGUAAGUACCUUGUGAAAUCCCACGGCUCAACCGUGGAACUGCUUGGUAUACUGCUUGUCUUGGGCCACUUAGGGGUUACCGGAACAAACGGUGGAGCGGUGAAAUGCGUAGAUAUUGGGAGGAACACCAGUGGCGAAGGCGGCUCACUGGACCGGUUCUGACGCUGAGGCGCGAAAGCGUGGGGAGCAAACGGG
rnacentral:rRNA from 1 species